AUGGAGGGGCGCCCCCGCGGCGGCGGCGGCCGGACGGCGAUGGACUACUCGCUGGCGGCGCUGAAGCUGUUGGCCUCGCAGCUGGCGGGCUCCACCACGGCCCCCUCCUCCGAGGGCUCCUCCCCGGCGCAGAUGCUCUUCGGCAUCCGCUUCCAGCGCGCCUGGAUGCAGGGCGUGAUCGUGCGCGUGGACUACAGCACCGGCGACAACGGGAGCCUGUUCGUGGAUGACGGCUCCUGCGUCACCGAGUUCAUGCUCCGGUCCGAGGAUGCCAAGGGCCAGCCCUGGCGCCCAGGGAUGUAUGUGCUGAUUAUUGGGGCAUAUAUUGCGCCAGAGUCUACCGAAAAUCUGCCAGCGGUCAAGGUGCACAAGAUAGUGGAUCUCUCGACGCAGCCGGACCGUGAAGCGAUGUGGUACAUGGAAGUCGCCGAGGCUUACAACUUGUUCUACGAGGCUGAUGCCUCUGGUGUCGGCUCACCGUCAUGA
rnacentral:rRNA from 1 species